rnacentral:tRNA from 1 species
GGGUCGUUAGCUCAGCCGGUAGAGCACCUGACUCUUAAUCAGGGUGUCACAGGUUCGAUUCCUGUACGACCCA